rnacentral:rRNA from 1 species
AGAGUUUGAUCCUGGCUCAGGACGAACGCUGGCGGCGUGCUUAACACAUGCAAGUCGAACGGAAAGGCCCUGCUUUUGUGGGGUGCUCGAGUGGCGAACGGGUGAGUAACACGUGAGUAACCUGCCCUUGACUUUGGGAUAACUUCAGGAAACUGGGGCUAAUACCGGAUAGGAGCUCCUGCUGCAUGGUGGGGGUUGGAAAGUUUCGGCGGUUGGGGAUGGACUCGCGGCUUAUCAGCUUGUUGGUGGGGUAGUGGCUUACCAAGGCUUUGACGGGUAGCCGGCCUGAGAGGGUGACCGGCCACAUUGGGACUGAGAUACGGCCCAGACUCCUACGGGAGGCAGCAGUGGGGAAUAUUGCACAAUGGGCGGAAGCCUGAUGCAGCAACGCCGCGUGCGGGAUGACGGCCUUCGGGUUGUAAACCGCUUUCGCCUGUGACGAAGCGUGAGUGACGGUAAUGGGUAAAGAAGCACCGGCUAACUACGUGCCAGCAGCCGCGGUGAUACGUAGGGUGCGAGCGUUGUCCGGAUUUAUUGGGCGUAAAGGGCUCGUAGGUGGUUGAUCGCGUCGGAAGUGUAAUCUUGGGGCUUAACCCUGAGCGUGCUUUCGAUACGGGUUGACUUGAGGAAGGUAGGGGAGAAUGAAAUUCCUGGUGGAGCGGUGGAAUGCGCAGAUAUCAGAGGAACACCAGUGGCGAAGGCGGUUCUCUGGGCCUUUCCUGACGCUGAGGGGCGAAAGCGUGGGGAGCGAACAGGCUUAGAUACCCUGGUAGUCCACGCUGUAAACGGUGG